UACGUAGGGGGCUAGCGUUAUCCGGAAUUACUGGGCGUAAAGGGUGCGUAGGUGGUUUCUUAAGUCAGAGGUGAAAGGCUACGGCUCAACCGUAGUAAGCCUUUGAAACUGGGGAACUUGAGUGCAGGAGAGGAGAGUGGAAUUCCUAGUGUAGCGGUGAAAUGCGUAGAUAUUAGGAGGAACACCAGUUGCGAAGGCGGCUCUCUGGACUGUAACUGACACUGAGGCUCGAAAGUGUGGGUAUCAAACAGG
rnacentral:rRNA from 1 species